CUUCACCGCAGGAUGAAUUCACCACAGUACUUUUUUGGCUGCUGGCAUGGGUCAACCGUUGGCUUUUUCUCACAUUAAUGUAAGCUUAUAGAGAGGAUGAUAGGUGGGGCUCGUUGGCUGUGGGGUCAUGCGACCCAUGUGAGUUUUCUCCAGGUUUUGGUACGCGAGGUGUGCAGCGCGUCCUCGCCAAUCGUGGCCUGGGUAAAAGGAACCUAGAGACCCCCGCGGCCGCCUCCCUCUUCUCGCGCUUCCUCCCCAAGCCCCACCUCGCCCCACGCCGCCCAUCUCCGCCUCCUCUCUCACGUCCUCCCCGCCGCCAUGGCCUAGCCCACCCUCGUCAUCGACCUCCCCAAGCCCCCCCUCUCUCUCUCUCGGGGGUGCUGCUGGUCGCAAUCUGGACGAAGAAAAGGAGACCCCGGAAGAAGUUAGAGCGUCCUGCUGGUGGCUAGAUCGAUGCGGCCGACGGCGAGUGCCGGUGAGCGACGGGGAGGCCCCUACCUCUCCGCAUCUUCUCCCAGGUUCCCGAUCUGGAGCGGGUGGGACGGACGCCGGCGAGGCCAGCCCCCCCCCCCUCACACGCAGCUGGAGCAUACUUGGUACAUGAGCCUUGCCGUGAGUGGUGGUGCAACGGUGACCUUGACGAGCAGGGCAAUGGCCAGACACGAGUAAGACACCAAAGAUGACUGGAAGCACUCAAAAAAGUUUACCACGCUGGAGCUAUGUCAGGUUGUACGAGGGCAGUUAAUGAAUAUACUUGCGACCCUUUUACUCUCAGACUCUCCUCAUUUUCUCGCUGCUGAACCCCUGCCAUCAUCAUGUCCAGACUGGCUGUCUCCAUGGUUGUGGCGCCAAGGUCACCGCAUCUUACAUCCUGAUGCAUUUUCAAGAAGACAUUAUUUGAUGUUAGAUGGCCAUUAUGUUCGCUUCAUAUGGACAGAGGACUAAUGGUACUCUUCCAUGAAGAGAAGCAAGUGGAUCAGUAUGUAGUAGCAGGUAUCAAUGUUUUCUCAUACUGAUGAUUCUGAAGUAAUUAGAUUGAGAAAAUUGCUUUAUUCCCCAAUUUCUCUCUGAAACCUUUGCCUUGUCCAUAGUCAUACCUAAAUGAGUUACUUUAUUUCCUAUAGCUCUAUUACUUUUUUCCCUAGAAGCACUCUCUUUAGUCUCCUUUACAAUACCAUGAUCAGGAGGCAAGAAAUAUGUGUGAAUGGAAUAAGAACUGUAUAUAGUUAUUGAUAAGCAUCUUCCACUAUCUAACAUAUAAAGCCUCCUAGAGUACCCGCCAUUCAGGAGGCCUUCCCGUGCGCAUCAUUCCUGUCCGUUCGAUCUCCUUUGACUUUGGCUCCUGGUCGUUUGAUCAUUUGACUGGUGGUAAUUUUUGGUCACUGUGUAAUUAAUUUCUUGGCCUAUGACUGGUGGGCUCAGCACUCACAUGGAUUGGCUGGGUCAGUUGUUCCCUUGUCUGCGAGGGAUUAGGCAGCCACUCCGCGCCCGCCCCGUGCUCGACGUGCACAUCCUGAGCCCCGCGCCCCCUUGGCUCUCUCCUCUCCCUCCUUGUCUCCAACCCUAAACAUUUUCCCUCUCCACCCCACAGCCGCCUCCCCUAGCUCCUCGUCCCCUUCACUCAGUCCAUCCCUCAUCAUCUCGGAUCCAGCAGAUCUGAGGCGUGCGGGUGCGGAGGCGAGUUUCUCCGCCGGCGGCUGCGGCGGUCACCUGCAGGCAAAGGGCGGUGGCGGCACUCGAUUUGAUCUGCAGGAAAGAUAGAACAUGAGGAGAGAGAAGGAAGGAAAGGAGGAACGCCACCAUGGGCGAGGAGGGGCAACAUGGUCUUCGUGGUGGGAAUGGAGGAGCAGAGGAGGAUGGAGGUGGGUGGUGGGAGCAGAGUAGCAGGAGUUCCAGGUCCAGGCGACGCUCGUGGAGUGGAGAAGCUCAUCGUCCAGCAUCACCAUCCCCAAUCUAGAUCUGAGCUAUGUUUUUAAGGCGGUAAGGCGAGGCGAGGCGCUGGGGGGGCGCCUCACCGCCUAAGCGCUAAAGCGUAAGGCGAGGCGACGCCUUAGACACGUGCAUAUAUAAUAUAUGGCAGCCAAUUAGGAGAUUUAACAACUAGCAUUAACUUAAUAAAUUGUACAUACAUAUAUAAUAGAUGGCCACCAAUUAGGAGAUUUAACAACUAACAUUAACAUAUAAACUGUUACCAAAGCAUAGGCCUCAAAUCAUCUUGUGUAUAUGACAAAACGGCGCCUUUGAAGUUCAGCUUCAUCCUCCUCAUCAAUAUAUCGCUCCAUAGCUUUAAACUUUCUAGUGUUUAAGGAAUUGUGCAUCUCUAUCCUAAUCUCCAUGGAUGCCUCGGGACACUUAUCCGCAUCACUGGAACCCCCAGAAAAGUGCUGCUUUAGCCUUCUCACUCCACCAUGGACUAUCUUGCCACACAAUGUACACUGGAGUAAAUCUUUCCUCUCUAAAUCUGGCCAGAACCCAUACUUCCAGGCUGGAACAUCUGAUGUAGCUCUUCUCCUAGGAUCAUUGGCUAGAUCCAUCAGAGCAGGUACACCUGGCUACUGUCAAAGAAAAAGAGAGAAGAGCCAAAUCACUAGAGCAGCCAGAUCAAGCAUGGGGAAGGAGAGAAGCAGUGGUGGGGCUGCUGCCUUGUGGGUGGAGAAGCAGAUCUGGGAAGAAACAGAUGCAGAUGAGGAGCGGGCAAGCACAUCUAGCUACACUGCUGUGCAUAAGAGAGGCAGCACCUAACAGUUAGUAGAGGAGCUGUGCAUAACAGAGCAGGCAAGCAUGGCAAGCUACACUGCUGGAUGGAAGAAAGAGGAUAGGGGGAAAGGGGGGAGAAGAGAGGGCUGAAUUCAUACCUUGAUGUGGUGCUGAUCUGCUGGAAGAGGGUUGCGCCAGAGGAGGAUGGGGAGGAGCUGCAGCCAGAGAGGAGGGGGAGGAACUGUGGCCGGAGGGAGGAGGCUGGCGGCUGCCGCAGAUCUGAGGAGGAAGCCUCCGUCAAUGGUCCAGAGAGGAGACAGGAGAGACCUCUCGCGUCGAUUCACUCUCUCUUUCCCCUUCUCAUAACUGGUCGCACCUGAACCAAUGUUUCCCGCGCCUGUGUUCCCGCCCAGGUCAGUUUUCCCACCUGCAAUCUCUGUUUCCCUGCCUGACAAGCUAAGGCGUCCGAUUUGGUCUGAGGCGUGCAAGGCGGCGCUAAGGCGGACGCUUCAGACGCCUUACAGCCUAAGGCGGACGCCUUACACGACUGUCUAAGGCAAGGCCGACGCCCUGAGCCUGGAGGGCGCCCUGACGACGCCUUACGGACGCCUUGAAAACAGAGGAUCUGAGAUAGAAAAGAAGAGAAAUAAUCUUGUGGAAUUUCUUAUCUGAGAUAGAAAAGAAGAGAAAGAUCUUGUGGAAGAGCUUGACGAAAAAGAAAGGGAUCUGAGAUAGAAAAGAAGAGAAAUAAUCUUGUGGAAUUUCAUAUCUGAGAAAAGAAGAGAAAGAUUCUUGUGGAAGAGCAGCUUGACAAAAAAGAAAGGGGCGGCACAACUGUACACCACCAUGAACAGGUUGUUUCAUCGCUACAACUCAUAUAGCAAGCUAUGCCAGUAUGGCAAUAUCUGAUAGUACGGCUGAUCACAAUUCCAGGGGCAACACUCACAUUUCCCCUCCAAAAUUCAACAUUUUCAUAUUUUGAGGAGCUUUAGUACGUUUGCUCACCGAUGAACUAGAAGUUGUUUUGUGUACUGCAUGAUUGAGGAAGUGCUAUUGCAGAUCAAAGUUGGUAGAAGCAUCUGCUGGGAAUCAAGUGUUACAUGGCUGUGGGUGACAAGGUUAGUGGUUUAGGAGUUCCUGCCAACACUGGCUUUUGGAAUUUAUCCUCGCUUCAUCAGUUGGGAUUUCUGUACAAAACUAAGAUAAUUUAUUUUGGUGCUUGCGAUGAGUAUUAGAUAGAGGGGUGAUGCACACAUACUUCACCCAGUGUAUCUGUUCAUGUAUGUUGUUAAUUGACUAAUUAGACAAAAAACCUCUAUCUGUAUGGUGUUUGUGAUGAUGCUAUCAAUUCACCAAACACUAAAAUACCGGGUUGUGCUUUUCAAAUCUAGCAAAUUAAUUCUCUA